rnacentral:lncRNA from 1 species
CUGUCACCUUGUGAGGAAGAUGCCUACUUCCCCUUCUGCCAUGAUGGUUUGUGGUUUGCUUGUAAUCAAUAGAAUGUGACCAAAGUGAUUCUAUGGGACUUCCCAGGGUAGGUCAAAAAAUGUGAUUCAGCUUCUGCCUUGUUCUUCCUAACACUUGUGGAGGAGCCUGGAGCCACCAUUCAAGUUCAAUUUCCUGAAGCAACCAUGCUAUAAGGAAGCUCAAGCUUUAUGAAGAGGCCAUGGGUAGGCACUGCAGUCAACAGCUCCAGACUAACUCCCAGAUGACAGCCAUCUGGGGUAUUCAGCCCAGGAGGGCCUUUGAUGACUGUAACCCCAGCUUUCAUCUUACUGUAAUCACUUGAGGAACCCUGUGCAAGAACUGUCCAGCUGAGACCUUUUUAAACUUCUGACACAUUUUUUAGAAAAACAAAAUAGAGUAAUUGGGGUAAUUUGUUAUGCAGCAAUAGUAAUCAGCACACAUGCUGAAAGCCAACCAACCACCAACUUAGCAGCAUAUUAUGAACUCUUCUUUCAUGUCAUUCCAUUUCCUUCCACACCAUUUUAAUGGUUCAUUGUAUUUUAUUGUAUGGAAAAAUAUACCAUUUUAAAACUAAUU